rfam:Strigamia maritima strain Brora ctg7180001228622, whole genome shotgun sequence.
GCUGCGAUGGCCGAGUGGUUAAGGCGUUGGACUUGAAAUCCAAUGGGAUUAUCCCGCACAGGUUCGAAUCCUGUUCGCAGCG